rnacentral:rRNA from 1 species
AUUGAACGCUGGCGGCAUGCCUUACACAUGCAAGUCGAACGGCAGCACGGGUGCUUGCACCUGGUGGCGAGUGGCGAACGGGUGAGUAAUACAUCGGAACAUGUCCUGUAGUGGGGGAUAGCCCGGCGAAAGCUGGAUUAAUACCGCAUACGAUCUACGGAUGAAAGCGGGGGACCUUCGGGCCUCGCGCUAUAGGGUUGGCCGAUGGCUGAUUAGCUAGUUGGUGGGGUAAAGGCCUACCAAGGCGACGAUCAGUAGCUGGUCUGAGAGGACGACCAGCCACACUGGGACUGAGACACGGCCCAGACUCCUACGGGAGGCAGCAGUGGGGAAUUUUGGACAAUGGGCGAAAGCCUGAUCCAGCAAUGCCGCGUGUGUGAAGAAGGCCUUCGGGUUGUAAAGCACUUUUGUCCGGAAAGAAAUCCUUGGCUCUAAUACAGUCGGGGGAUGACGGUACCGGAAGAAUAAGCACCGGCUAACUACGUG